rnacentral:rRNA from 1 species
GACAGAGGCCCCAAGCGUUAGGCGGAAUCACUGGGCUUAAAGCGUGUGUAGGCGGAUCGCUAAGUGUCUUGUGAAAUCCCACGGCUCACCCGUGGAACGGCUGGGCAUACUGGCGAUCUUGGGCCAACUAGGGGCAGUCGGAACAAGCGGUGGAGCGGUGAAAUGCGUAGAUAUCGCUUGGAACGCCGAAGGUGAAAACAGACUGCUGGGGUUGCGCCGACGCUGAGACACGAAAGCCAGGGGAGCAAACGGG